rnacentral:rRNA from 1 species
CCUGGAGGGGCCCUGGUCCAGCCAUGCCGCCUCUGUAAGAAGGCCUUUUGGUUGUAAGCCCUUUACGCGAGGAGGAGGCUACCCUAGUUAAUACCUAGGAUUGACGUUACUCGCAGAAUAAGCACCGCUAACUCUGUGCCAGCAGCCGCGGUAAUACAGAGGUCGAGCGUUAAUCGGAUUUACUGGGCGUAAAGCUGCGUAGGCGCUUUUUAAGUCGGAUGUGAAUCCCUGAGCUUAACUUAGGAAUUCAUUCUAUCUGGAACUAGAGAAUGGGAGAGGAUGUAGAAUUCCAGGUGUAGCGGUGAAAUGCGCAAAUCUGCAGGAACACCGAUGCCGAAGGCACCAUAAGGCCUAGUACUGACGGUGAGGUACGAAACCCUGGGGAGCAACCAGGAUUAGAUACCCUGGUAGUCCACGCCGUAAACGAUGUGUACUAGCCGUUGGGGCCUUUGAGGCUUUAAUGGCGCAGCUAACACAAUAAGUAGACCGCCUGGGGAGUACGGUCGCAAGACUAAAACUCAAAUGAAUUGACGGGGGCCCGAACAAACCAAGGACAUGUGGUUUAAAGCGACGCAACGCGAAGGACCGUUCUUGGUCUCCCCAUAGAACCACCGAGAUGGAUUGGGAAACGGGAACUUACAUACAGUGCUGCAUGGCUGUGUCAGCUCGUGUCGUAUGGUGCUGGGUUAAGUCGCAAAAAAAGCGCAACCCUUUUCGUUAGGGAAUC